rnacentral:rRNA from 1 species
CACGAAGUUAGCCGGGGCUUAUUCUGCGGGUACCGUCAUUAUCUUCCCCGCCAAAAGAGCUUUACAAUCCGAAGACCUUCGUCACUCACGCGGCAUGGCUGGAUCAGGCUUUCGCCCAUUGUCCAAGAUUCCCCACUGCUGCCUCCCGUAGGAGUCUGGGCCGUGUCUCAGUCCCAGUGUGGCUGAUCAUCCUCUCAGACCAGCUACGGAUCGUCGCCUUGGUAGGCCGUUACCCCACCAACUAGCUAAUCCGACGCGGGCCCAUCCAAUGGCGAUAAAUCUUUCCCCUCUCGGGCGUAUACGGUAUUACCCCAAGUUUCCCUGGGCUAUUCCGUACCACUGGGUAGGUUCCCACGCGUUACUCACCCGUCUGCCGCUAACCCCGAAGGGUUCGCUCGACUUGCAUGUGUUAGGCCUGCCGCCAGCGUCGUUCUGUAGCCACGGAUCAACUAC